GGGGAGAGAGACCAGAACACCAAGGUUGAUGAGUGGAGGGGGAGGGGUGGUGGGAGAGGAUGUUAGUGUGAGAAUGUUGGUGCUGCUGAUGAGAGUUUGUAAAGGAGGUGUGUCUCCUUUUAAAUCAGGUAUUUAGGGCUGCUGGCACCCUAUUCCCUUCAUAGUGCACUACUGUUGACCAGAGCUCUAUGGAGCCCUGGUCAAAAGUAGUGCACUAUGUAGGGAAUAGGGUGCCAUUUUGAUGCUGUCUAAAGCAUCUACUGCACUAAUUACUCCUAGUCUUAUUUAACUCCAGAUGUAUUUUAUAUUAUAAGAGUAAAAUAAAACACUCACAUUUUCAGGAUGAAUUGAUUGUUUAUACAUUCCGACUAAUGUGUAGCGAGAUUAUGUCAAUGCAUUUAUUUUCAUUGAAAACAUUCCGUAUUUAUUCUUAGUUUAGUAUUCUAGGUCAUUUUUUUACUCUGGUAAUGUGCCAUUUCCCCCCUAAAAACCUGCUAACCCCAAACCUACAGUACAGUAUCUAACUGCCAGAGAAGUACUAGAAGUAUAGAAGUACUGUAUUCAGUACAGUAUCUAACUGUCAGAGAAGUACUAGAGUAUAGAGGUACUGUAUUCAGUACAGUAUCUAACUGUCAGAGAAGUACUAGAGUAUAGAGGUACUGUAUUCAGUACAGUAUCUAACUGUCGGAGAAGUACUAGAGUAUAGAGGUACUGUAUUCAGUACAGUAUCUAACUGUCGGAGAAGUACUAGAGUAUAGAGGUACUGUAUUCAGUACAGUAUCUAACUGUCAGAGAAGUACUAGAGUAUAGAGGUACUGUAUUCAGUACAGUAUCUAACUGCCAGAGAAGUACUAGAGUAUAGAGGUACUGUAUUCAGUACAGUAUCUAACUGUCAGAGAAGUACUAGAGUAUAGAGGUACUGUAUUCAGUACAGUAUCUAACUGUCGGAGAAGUACUAGAGUAUAGAGGUACUGUAUUCAGUACAGUAUCUAACUGUCAGAGAAGUACUAGAGUAUAGAGGUACUGUAUUCAGUACAGUAUCUAACUGUCAGAGAAGUACUAGAGUAUAGAGGUACUGUAUUCAGUACAGUAUCUAACUGCCAGAGAAGUACUAGAGUAUAGAGGUACUGUAUUCAGUACAGUAUCUAACUGUCAGAGAAGUACUAGAAGUAUAGAGGUACUGUAUUUAUUUAACCUUUUUAUUUAGCAUUACGUUUGAAAGAUUCCCCUAACUUUCCCCAAAUUCCCAGGUUUUCCUUCAGAAAUCCUGGUUAGAAUAUUCCCUGAAUCUGGAAGGAAGAAGCAGGAAAUCAGGGAAUCCUCCAUCUGGGAAUUCUGAAAUACAAAAGGAAUUUCUCAACUUUAUUGAGAGCUUUUAUUUUUUAACAAUAACAACCUGGUAUUAUCCUGGUUUAUCUUCUUAGAACCUAUUUUUUUAAUUCUCCUUUAAUUUCAUAGACUGAUUUUUUGUUGUGCCAUAAUGGAAGAAAUAAGAAAACAAUUGAUUCUAAAUCAGGACCGUAGUUCGUCAUAUUGUUAUGCUUGAUUGCAUUUGAUUUGUGUUGAGUGUUGACUACUACUGAAGUUGUUGAAUGUACAAUGUACCUAAAUGUCCGGGGAUGUGUCUCAAAUGGAACGCUAUAGACUAAGUAGUGCACUACUUUUUGACUAGGGCUAUGUGGGACGUAUCCCCAAUGUUCCUUUCAUAAUAAUAAUAAAGGCCCAGUUGAUUUGAAUGUG